GGACGAACGCUGGCGGCGUGCUUAACACAUGCAAGUCGAACGGAAAGGCCCUGCUUUUGUGGGGUGCUCGCGUGGCGAACGGGUGAGUAACACGUGAGUAACCUGCCCUUGACUUUGGGAUAACUUCAGGAAACUGGGGCUAAUACCGGAUAGGAGCUCCUGCUGCAUGGUGGGGGUUGGAAAGUUUCGGCGGUUGGGGAUGGACUCGCGGCUUAUCAGCUUGUUGGUGGGGUAGUGGCUUACCAAGGCUUUGACGGGUAGCCGGCCUGAGAGGGUGACCGGCCACAUUGGGACUGAGAUACGGCCCAGACUCCUACGGGAGGCAGCAGUGGGGAAUAUUGCACAAUGGGCGGAAGCCUGAUGCAGCAACGCCGCGUGCGGGAUGACGGCCUUCGGGUUGUAAACCGCUUUCGCCUGUGACGAAGCGUGAGUGACGGUAAUGGGUAAAGAAGCACCGGCUAACUACGUG
rnacentral:rRNA from 1 species